CCCGAGCAACGAACGGAGGGGAAGACAGAGGUGCCGACGGCGGCCGGAAUGGGUGAGGGAGAGGCGGAGAGCGAGCGCGCACGGCCGAGGAGCAGCGACGGCGUGCGGCGUGAGGUGGCGACGACGGUCUUGGCUCCGGCACGGCUGUAGCCCUUCAACGCAACUGACCUCUGUUUCUGCUUCUGCUUUGUUCGAACAAGAAGGGCGGAAGAGAGAGAGACGAAGCUGUGCACGGGCAGCAGGACGGCGGACAGCAGCGACUCUGGCUCCGGUUGCUUGUUGCAUCGACGCCGAGAGGAAUCGCUACUUCGGCCUGCUGGUUCGCUGAUCUUCAGCUUCCAUGGAGUCUUGAAGAAAAAGAAGAAGAUGGGGGAUGCAUUCGGUCGACGGAGGGGAGAGGGAGAAGAAGAGAAAACCAAUUUCUCAUUUUCCUCUCACACUCUCUCUCUCUUAGGUCAGCCAUACGUGGGCCACCAUCAGCUGUCAUCCACUCCUCAUUUUUGACAAUUAUGCCCCCUUCUAGAAGCAUUUAGGUUGGCCAAAAUGUGGGGGUAUGUGUGGCAUACGAAUUUGCUAGGUUUUCUUUCUAAUUGAGCCUUAAUUCCUCUUGAAUUAAAUCAAAUUGACCCCCAUUAAUUUAUUCAACACCUCAUCAUUCCAAUUGGUAUUUUUCCUUACCAACGUAGCUCCACUUGCAUCCCAAUUUCACAAUCCUUGGCUUCAACCGAACAAAAGCGGCCCUAUUAUCCAGUCAAAAUUAGGACCCGAAAAUCUGGACGUCACAACUCUUCCCCUCUUACAAAAAUUUCGUCCUCGAAAUUUAAACUUUUACCAAUCCUUAUACAAAAGGUGAGGGAAUUGUCGUCUCAUCGAGCCUCACUGCUUUCCACGCUAAUCCUUCAGUCUCAUGGUGCUGUCCGACCAUUUUGAUUAAGGAGAUCAUCUUGGUACAUAAACUCUGCUCUUUCUGAACCAACAACUGAAUUGAGCUUCUCACAUAAGACACUCUGUCAUCCACAUCCGAUCUCUGUUUCUCGACUCCGUAAUAAACCUUCGAACCUCAACGAUUCAAACUUUCUGACAAUUCUGAGCAGUCUUUACUCUGACAUUGAUCUGACAACUGUAAACACUGAUUUCCGAGCUGACUUCGGACUUGCGAUUUUCUGAUUUCUGAUCUCAUCCCAACCGACUGAAAUCCUGUACAUUCUGCCCUGUACUGAUUAAAAGGAAACUAUCUGACUGAUCUGCUAAAACUGGGAACCUCUGGUCAAGAUCUAAUAUAACUCUGACACUGAUCUUGGCAAUCGCAAUCACUGACUACUGUACUGACUUUGGCCUGAAAUCUUCUUCACUUUCUUUUCACCACUGAAAUUCUGUACCCUCUUCUAUAACACUGCUUAAGAAAGAACCCUCUGAAAACUCUGCCAAACUUAUAAUCUCUGAGCUAGAUUCAAAAUAUAAUUCAUCCCCGGCACUCCAUGCCGGCUAAUUAUCUGAUGCACACACACUUCGGUAUACCCACUCUGAUAAGAUAGAAUCUUCAAUUUCUGAAAUCGAACUUAGAUUGGCGGUUAAUUUCAUUCCGACACGUUUUUUAGUGUGACCUAGGCUACUGGGUAGUGUUCAGAGCUUUUUAGGACAAAUGACUCGUGGUCGAUUUUCUUCGAGCCACAAUAAACCCACUCGACCCAUUGGCGACUCUCAAUUGUCGUGAAAAUCUCAAAGAUUCAAAUACGGACACAGGGCGCCAAAACGAUAGAAACAUCAAAUUAGUGUCGGUCGAUGAGAAUUUUCCAAUUUAGUGGAGUCACCCACGAUCGGUCAUUCAUCUCAGUCGAACCGAUCUAUCUUUGAUUUCAAAUCGGGUUUUAUACUGUGCCGCAAUGAUCUCUAAAGAUGAGCACGGUCGAGAAGUCGAUCCAUGGUCGAAUUCUCAAGUCUAUUUGCCUUAAGGUCCUUAAUAACUCACCCAGCUAGUCUAGUUAUCUCAUGAGUGGCCAACUCAGAGAAAAACACUGUAAUCGCGUCGAUGAAAUGCCCAAUUUAUCUAAUCGAAAUCAGCGCCCGACAUCAGGAUGUCACACACUCAAAACAAGAUCUAUUCG
rnacentral:lncRNA from 1 species